rnacentral:rRNA from 1 species
UAGGGAAUCUUCGGCAAUGGACGAAAGUCUGGCCGAGCAACGCCGCGCGAGUGAAGAAGGUUUUCGGAUCGUAAAACUCUGUUGUUAGAGAAGAACAAGGACGUUAGUAACUGAACGUCCCCUGACGGUAUCUAACCAGAAAGCCACGGCUAACUACGUGCCAGCAGCCGCGGUAAUACGUAGGUGGCAAGCGUUGUCCGGAUUUAUUGGGCGUAAAGCGAGCGCAGGCGGUUUCUUAAGUCUGAUGUGAAAGCCCCCGGCUCAACCGGGGAGUGUCAUUCGAAACUGGUAGACUUGAGUGCAGAAGAGGAGAGUGGAAUUCCAUGUGUAGCGGUGAAAUGCGUAGAUAUAGGGUGGCACACCAGUGGCGAAGGCGGCUCUCUGGUCUGUAACUGACGCUGAGGCUCGAAAGCGUGGGGAGCAAACAGG